rnacentral:rRNA from 1 species
UACGUAGGGACCGAGCGUUGUCCGGAAUCACUGGGCGUAAAGGGUGCGUAGGCGGGUCUUUAAGUCAGGGGUGAAAUCCUGGAGCUCAACUCCAGAACUGCCUUUGAUACUGAGGAUCUUGAGUUCGGGAGAGGUGAGUGGAACUGCGAGUGUAGAGGCGAAAUUCGUAGAUAUUCGCAGGAACACCAGUGGCGAAGGCGGCUCACUGGCCCGAUACUGACGCUGAGGCACGAAAGCGUGGGGAGCAAACAGG